GACGAACGCUGGCGACGUGCUUAACACAUGCAAGCCGAACGGAAAGGCCUGCUUUCCCUUGUGGAUUGCGGGUACUCGAGUGGCGAACGGGUGAGUAACACGUGAGUGAUCUGCCCCCAACUUGGGUAUAAGCCUGGGAAACUGGGUCUAAUUCCCGAUAGGACUGCAGGGUGGUGCCUGUGGUGGAAAACGAUUUUCUAGUGGUUGGGGAUGAGCUCGCGGCCUAUCAGCUUGUUGGUGGGGUAAUGGCCUACCAAGGCGGCGACGGGUAGCCGGCCUGAGAGGGUGGACGGCCACAUUGGGACUGAGAUACGGCCCAGACUCCUACGGGAGGCAGCAGUGGGGAAUAUUGCACAAUGGGCGGAAGCCUGAUGCAGCGACGCCGCGUGGGGGAUGACGGCCUUCGGGUUGUAAACUCCUUUCGACCGCGAGGAAGCCACCUGGUUGGAAGGGUGGUGACGGUAGUGGUAGAAGAAGCACCGGCUAACUACGUG
rnacentral:rRNA from 1 species